AUUGAAAGAAAAAAAAACAGCUUUAUUUUGCAGUGCUUUCAGCCGUGAGUGGGAUCAAAGAAAAGGCAACUUCAAUAAGCACUGACCAUGCGAUAUUUCUCCAUGAAGUGUACCAUGCUCAGGAAAUUCGAAGGAAGCUGCUUCUCAAUCUAAUGCUAUCUGAUGUGCAUGCUGGUUGCAUUUAUUAAUUUGCUAAUGCGGAUUGAGUUAAAUUGCAUACGGAGUUGGAUCGCAGGGAUCUAUUUUUUAACCCCAGUCAUCUCAGAGCUUGUCUACCGGUACAUCAUUGAAGGCAGUAAAUACUGAGAUCAAAGAGCUGAAGCAGGCAAUUAUGCAAUUGCAAGAUAACAACAAAGAGCUUCAACAGAGUUUGAACGAGAUGAAGGAGGAAAGGGACCAAUAUCGGGAGGAGCUGCUACGCCAGAUGAAAGACAUGAUGGAGCAUUUCGAGACGAGGAUGCUUUAGAGCUUGCAAUUUAGCAAUCUGUACUCACAGCCGUUGACUGAUGAUGAUGAUGAUCAUUUAGAUGACAUUUAGUGCCAUGUAGUACUACUGUUUUUACUUGUAGCGUGUUGUAUUGAACAAAUGUGUGUUUUGUAGUAUUGUGUAGUAUUGUGUUAAAACCGAUAUUUUGUGUUAAAACUAGUAUUUUGUGCUGAAAUAAUUACAUGUGAUAUAUUUGGGUAUUA